UACGGGGGGAGCAAGCGUUGUUCGGAUUUACUGGGCGUAAAGGGCGCGUAGGCGGCGCCGCAAGUCGACUGUGAAAUCUCCGGGCUUAACCCGGAAAGGUCAGCCGAUACUGCGGGGCUAUAGUGCAGAAGGGGCAACUGGAAUUCUCGGUGUAGCGGUGAAAUGCGUAGAUAUCGAGAGGAACACCUGCGGCGAAGGCGGGUUGCUGGGCUGACACUGACGCUGAUGCGCGAAAGCUAGGGGAGCGAACGGG
rnacentral:rRNA from 1 species